rnacentral:lncRNA from 1 species
CACAACCCUUGCAAAGGGAGAAGCAAACCAACACUAUGCACAGAAGCAACAGAAACGGAGGCAUCUGUCCUGAGGUCGCAACUUCUCUCUAUCUAAACACACGGGAAAUUCUCCUUGCCAGUGUCUGCUUCCCAUGUCUCUGUCUCCAGCUGAAAACCAGUUCCUGUGGAGACUGCUGGGACAGCAACUGCCAGUCAGCACUAUCAAGUGUCCUGCCUGCCAGGCUCCUGCUGUGUCUGCGUGGAGUCCAGCCAGAGUUCUCAGUCUCUACUGUGCAGUCUCUACCAGCAGGUCAAUGCAAUCAAACUGUUUCCACUCUGGCUGUAUCAGGACAGGAACUGAAAUUCAGUCUCUCUAUCACUGUGCUUUAGAGCCCAAUCAGCAAAACUGGAGCAAGCUCCAGUGUUUGUUAAUUCUCCUUGAGAUUGUUGAAAUUCGGUCUUGGCUAUACCAGGUUCAGAGAGAGAUUGCUGAUUCAAAGCUUGGAUGUAAGCCUGUACCUGAUCAGCCCAAAUGGCUGGGAAUCAUCUGCACCUUGAUUUAA